rnacentral:rRNA from 1 species
AUUGAACGCUGGCGGAAUGCUUUACACAUGCAAGUCGAACGGCAGCACGGACUACGGUCUGGUGGCGAGUGGCGAACGGGUGAGUAAUACAUCGGAACGUGCCCAAUCGUGGGGGAUAACGUAGCGAAAGCUACGCUAAUACCGCACACGAUCUAAGGAUGAAAGCGGGGGAUCGCAAGACCUCGCGCGAAUGGAGCGGCCGAUGGCAGAUUAGGUAGUUGGUAGGGUAAAGGCCUACCAAGCCGACGAUCUGUAGCUGGUCUGAGAGGAUGAUCAGCCACACUGGGACUGAGACACGGCCCAGACUCCUACGGGAGGCAGCAGUGGGGAAUUUUGGACAAUGGACGCAAGUCUGAUCCAGCCAUUCCGCGUACAGGAUGAAGGCCCUCGGGUUGUAAACUGCUUUUGUACAGAACGAAAAGGCCCUGGUUAAUACCUGGGGCUCAUGACGGUACUGUAAGAAUGAGCACCGGCUAACUACGUGCCAGCAGCCGCAGUAA